rnacentral:misc_RNA from 1 species
UAGCUGAUGGCGGUGGAUGUGUG